GAUGAACGCUGGCGGCGUGCCUAAUUCAUGCAAGUCGAGCGAACGGACGAGAAGCUUGCUUCUCUGAUGUUAGCGGCGGACGGGUGAGUAACACGUGGAUAACCUACCUAUAAGACUGGGAUAACUUCGGGAAACCGGAGCUAAUACCGGAUGAUAUUUUGAACCGCAUGGUUCAAAAGUGAAAGACGGUCUUGCUGUCACUUAUAGAUGGAUCCGCGCUGCAUUAGCUAGUUGGUAAGGUAACGGCUUACCAAGGCAACGAUGCAUAGCCGACCUGAGAGGGUGAUCGGCCACACUGGAACUGAGACACGGUCCAGACUCCUACGGGAGGCAGCAGUAGGGAAUCUUCCGCAAUGGGCGAAAGCCUGACGGAGCAACGCCGCGUGAGUGAUGAAGGUCUUCGGAUCGUAAAACUCUGUUAUUAGGGAAGAACAUAUGUGUAAGUAACUGUGCACAUCUUGACGGUACCUAAUCAGAAAGCCAUGGCUAACUACGUG
rnacentral:rRNA from 1 species